rnacentral:rRNA from 1 species
GGGUCCGGACACACUGAGGAUUGACAGGCAAAAGAUACAAGUUUUCUUUGAAAGCUUGCAUUGUAAAAUAUGCGAGUCCUUUCAUGAUUAUGUGAUAGGUGGUGCAUGGCCGUUCUUAGUUCGUGGAGUGAUCUGUCUGCUUAAUUGCGUUUCACAACGAUUUAAAAUGCUAUGUUUUCUGUGUUUGCUGUUCGGUUUUGCUCUUACGGGAGUUUUAACUUUGAACGCACACGGCGUAGCUUAAAACAAUCGGAAAGCAACGAACGUGACCGCAACCUCUUGUUGCCUUUAUUUUUAAAAGCGUGGAAAAUUUUAUAUUUUCUUACGCUUGAAAAAGGCUUUAAAACUAGAGGGACCGCUGUUCUAUUCUCUUAAACCAGAGGAAGAUUGCGGCAAUAACAGGUCUGUGAUGCCCUCAGAUGUUCUGGGCUGCACACGUGCUACAAUGAUUGUUGCAGUGAGCAUCUAUUUUCAAACGCUACCGUUGCGGAUUUUGUGAGAAGGGAGUUUGUUUUAAAGCUUUCGGGUGGAGAAGCAGGUUCUUUUUUUUUACAAUUUAUUCCGCGUUACGUGUCAGCUAAACCUGCUUCGAAAGCAAGUAGGU